rnacentral:rRNA from 1 species
CCAUCCCGCGUGUGCGAUGAAGGCCUUCGGGUUGUAAAGCACUUUUGGCAGGAAAGAAACGUCGCGGGUUAAUACCCCGCGAAACUGACGGUACCUGCAGAAUAAGCACCGGCUAACUACGUGCCAGCAGCCGCGGUAAUACGUAGGGUGCAAGCGUUAAUCGGAAUUACUGGGCGUAAAGCGUGCGCAGGCGGUUCGGAAAGAAAGAUGUGAAAUCCCAGAGCUUAACUUUGGAACUGCAUUUUUAACUACCGGGCUAGAGUGUGUCAGAGGGAGGUGGAAUUCCGCGUGUAGCAGUGAAAUGCGUAGAUAUGCGGAGGAACACCGAUGGCGAAGGCAGCCUCCUGGGAUAACACUGACGCUCAUGCACGAAAGCGUGGGGAGCAAACAGGAUUAGAUACCCUGGUAGUCCACGCCCUAAACGAUGUCAACUAGCUGUUGGGGCCUUCGGGCCUUGGUAGCGCAGCUAACGCGUGAAGUUGACCGCCUGGGGAGUACGGUCGCAAGAUUAAAACUCAAAGGAAUUGACGGGGACCCGCACAAGCGGUGGAUGAUGUGGAUUAAUUCGAUGCAACGCGAAAAACCUUACCUACCCUUGACAUGUCUGGAAUGCCGAAGAGAUUUGGCAGKGCUCGCAAGAGAACCGGAACACAGGUGCUGCAUGGCUGUCGUCAGCUCGUGUC